AUCUAUGGCUGUAUUAUUCUGAAUGUGCCUGACUGCACCUGACCUUGGAAGGUAAGCAGGAUUGGGCCUGGUUAGUACUUGGAUGGGAGACUGCAUGGGAAUACUGGAUGCUAUGGGCU
rnacentral:rRNA from 1 species